rnacentral:lncRNA from 1 species
UCUUGACACAUGCACCGACAAGUCAAGUACUUGACUACACCCAGCAGCCUUCCGUCACUGAAUUAAAAAUUCAGGUAGUCCAGUGCCUAAGUGCAGUGAGUUGCUUGUAAAUUACCGUGGUGGUCUCAGGUCGGAGGGACAUUUAUACCCAUAUUCCAUCGAAGCAAAUCUUGACAGCAGAAAUAGCUCUGGAGUCGGUCACGUUCAG